UAGGCCAUGGGGGUUAAGUGACUUGACUGGGUCACACAGCUAGUAAGUGUCUGAGGUCAGAGUUGAACCCAGGACCUCCCAUCUCUAUCCACUGAGCCACCUAGCUGCUCCUUCAUUUGGAGCUUUUUACCUGCAUUUUGGAAAAGGUUCAGGUAGACAAGGCUAGGAACUAGGAGUGUUGGAUUCUGGCCCCAAGUCCUCCACCAUACGUAGAUCCUUUAGGUAGACAUCCAACCUCUUCAGGUCUAAGUAUCAUCAUUUGAUACCAUGAGGACAUCCAGACUAGAGCAUGUAUCAGUUAUGAUGUCCACUGCUAUUAAAUACAAGGAGCCUUAACUCACGCUGUCCCUCUCCAGCCUUCCGGCACACAGUCCCUGUGCUCCAGCCCGGCCAGACCAUCGUCCUCUCUGACCUGGCUCUGUGAAAUGGGGCUAAAACCCAAAGAACGCUGACUCUGGAGUCAGAACCUGUGUGCGAAUCCUGGGUCUCCACCACAUACUACCUGUGUGAUGGCAGAUAUGGAAACAGAGACAAACAGGAAUAUAGUUACUUGCCCAGGUCAUAGAGAUAGCAAAUGUCUGACAGGAUUUGAAAUCAAAUCUUCCUGAUUCCAGGCCCAGUGCUUUAUCCAUCAUGCCACUCAGAGGAUCAGAUUUGUUUCCAUGAGGAUGUGAGGGAGGCUAGGUCUACAAAAGCUGAAGACAAGUACUGCUGUAUCCUUUCUGCAUAGCCUUGUAGUGUUAGGACAAAGAAAACCUCCUUUAUUAAAUGUUUCGUGACUUACAAGUUCCUCAUUUUGUCCCCAAAUUGAACCUGAACUAAGAGAGUGCUGGCCUUCAACAAAUCCCUACCUCUCCCAUGAGGUUUUACUUCACUGCCCCAGCCUUUCAACUUUCAACUAUCAUCUCUACCAUUCAUUUUCUACUUAACUUAUGCUACAUCUAAUUGCUAGUCACCCUUUUAUUUGUCCUGCCUUUCCAACUGGAUAGUAAAUACUUUGAAAGUAGG
rnacentral:lncRNA from 1 species